rnacentral:lncRNA from 1 species
UGAAUUCAUGGGCUGAAAAGGAGACGAGAGGCCUUAUCAAGGAGGUACUUCCUCCCGGGUCAGUUGACAGCUCAACCAGGCUCAUCUUUGCAAAUGCGUUAUACUUCAAAGGAGCUUGGACUGAAAAGUUUGAUGCAUCACAAACGAAAGAGCAUGAUUUCUACCUUCUCGAUGGGAGCACAGUUAAGGUGGCCUUCAUGACCAGCAGGAAGAAGCAGUAUGUAAGAUCCUUCAAUGGUUUCUCAGUCUUAGGGCUUCAUUACAAGCAAGGUGAAGACAAGCGAUGUUUCUCCAUGCACAUGUUUCUCCCAGAGGCGAAAGAUGGGCUGCCAGCUUUGGUUGAGAAACUUGGUUCUGAGUCCGGGUUUUUGGAUCGCCAUCUUCCUAACCAAAAAUUUGCAGUGGGUGAUUUCAGGAUUCCAAAGUUUAAGAUUUCAUUUGGGUUUGAAGCUUCCAAUGUCCUUAAAGGUCUUGGCUUGGUGCUGCCAUUCGGUGGCGGAGGAGGUUUGACAGAGAUGGUGGACUCGCCUGUGGGUAAGAACUUGUACGUUUCCGGCAUAUUCCAUAAGUCGUUCAUCGAAGUGAACGAAGAAGGCACAGAAGCUGCAGCUGUGUCUGCCGGGCGUGUUAGGCGUUUGCGUCUGGUAGUGCCAAGGACGGUUGACUUUGUGGCCGAUCGUCCAUUUCUCUUCUUGAUCAAGGAAGAAUUGACCGGAACUGUGCUUUUCAUCGGGCACGUACUCAAUCCUCUUGCAGACUGAGCGUUGUUAUUCCCUGUAAAAGGCAAAUGUAUACGUAGAACUACACGAGAUUAUAUAUAAAAUGUAUGAUCAUCUCUAUUAAAAUAAAUGUAUGAUCAUCAUGUUCACGUCGUCUUGUUUAUAUAUAUAAAUGUAUGAUCAUCUGUGUUAAAAUAAAUGUAUGAUCUUCAUGUUCAUGUCGUCUUGUUUCUCUCAUAUGGCUUUUGUUGUUCGUUCUGCCAUGGCUAUACCUACCCGAAACUGUUGGAAAUGCUUUGGGGAUAGGCUUUUACCCAUUAAUGCUGGAAAUGUUUUUCUCCUUAAUUGUAUUGGGAACGGUUUGGACUAGAGGUUUUUCUUUUUAGUUAAGUGUCGGAUUGUCCCGGUGAAUAGUCAUUCCUUAACCAUUUGCAUGGGCUUAAAUUCUUUGUAAUUAGUUUAAAGCAACGUUGCUCUUGUAAUAAAAAAACAUUAUAAACCAAGUGCUCGGUAAUUAUUGCACGUUCAGUUAACAUGAAUCGGGACAAGUAAAGAAUCAUAGAACUUACGAGCAGGGAAUGUACAGAGGGAAAAUUUAUCUUAUCAACUGGCCAUGUAAUUUACAUAAUUCUUGAAUUUUAGGUUAAGUUAUAUUUUGUAGAUCAGGCGUAAGUUGAUUUUUUUUUUAAAUUAUUAAAGAAAUCAAUCAUCAAUUAUCACAUAAUGUGAUUUGUAAAAUAUUGUUCGAGUAGAUAGUCUCUCGAGAAUGACUCAAACUUUAUAAUGAUUUUGAUUUUUAUUACAUAGUAAUCAUGUCAUUAAGGUCAAACUUUGAACAAACAUCCAUUUACAUAGCAAGCAUGUUAUUAUGGUGUAUGCUCAUCGUCGCUUUCAAACCUUGACAUGUGUCUUCUAACAUAACCAUAAUGAAAAUUAUACUUUCAAAUUUAUUUUUUUUAUUUUGAAAGGAUGUCAACUAGUGCCAAGCUAGGACUAGAAACACAAUUUGGCAACAACAUUCCAUAUUUACCCCUGCUUUUGCUGGCUGUAUCUCAAAAAUAUAUGGGCAGUCCUCCUAAUUUUCAUCUUCUUACCGGAAUCUCACCCCACAAAUCAAAUUACAGCCCACAACUGCCUAAUUUUUGUUAGUACCAAAAUCAAGAACCAAUAACAAUAUCUUAUUAUUCGUUGCAGUUUAAAUGACACUUGUUGAUGAGUUUUGUUGCAGUUAAAUUUCAGGAUAAUAUUAGAGAGACUAAAUUUGAAGAUGAAAUUUACAAAUUAAAUGUUAUGUCACCAAUAAAAAUGAGCAUGUUUAUUAACGUUUAAAUGAUAAACCAAUUAUCAACUUCUAUAUAUGUUUGAACCCGAUGUUACACCAUCGGUUCGAGUAAUCGAGGCUAUUGAAUAAGCAGAAUUUUAGAUCGUUGAAAUUAUUAGAAAAUCUGAGCAUGCACGAUAGUUAUAACGGUGAGAAAAGUUACGGUAAUAUUAGCGUACUUCUUACGUGGCCACGCCCAAAACGAAGUCGUGGCAACUCGCGCGAAUGCCACUGCUCCCUCUAUCGUCUUCUUUCCCGCUUGGCUUCGCAUUGAUCGUUUGAACCUGUAACCGAUCACCGAUCACCGACGACCGACACCGACUUUCCUAUUUUCUCGAUGGUGAGAAAGCAUACGGCCCAAUAUUAGCGUACUUCUUACGUGGCCACGCUCAAAACGAAGCGUGGCGACUCCCACGAAUGCCACUUCUCCCUCUAUUGUCUUCUUCCCCACUUGGCCUCGCAUUGAUCGUUUGAACCUGCAACCGAUGACCGACGACCGACACCGAGAUUUUCCCAAACCUUGGUCCUUACUCUCGUAUAAAUUAGAAACGAACAGCGGAACAAUUUUCUCGCAACCGGAAGCACAGCAAACAUGGAUCUGAGAGAAAGCAUCAUCAACCAAAACGACGUCGCAAGGAGGCUGACGAAGCAGCUGGUUCAGACCGAAGGCAAGCAGUCGAACCUCGUGUACUCGCCGCUGUCCAUCCACGUUGUGCUGAGCCUGAUCGCGGCCGGGUCAAAGGGUCCCACCCAGGAGCAGCUGCUGUCGUUCCUCAAGUCAAAGUCCACCGACCACCUCAACUCCUUCGCCUCCCAGCUCGUGUCCGUGAUCUUCUCCGACGGGUCCCCCGUGGGCGGCCCCAAGCUGGCGUUUGCGAAUGGGGUUUGGGUGCACAAGCCUCUCCCGCUGAAGCCUUCCUUCGAGCAGGUGGUGGACGCUUCUUACAAGGCCGCUCUUGCCCCAGUCGAUUUUCAGACCAAUGUAAGCUCCCAAACCCUCUGUCAUGUCGUAUCGAUAGUGUUUUUUUUCAAUGCUGCUCAUGAUCAAAGUCUUCAAUUUUUUUCGAUUUGAUUGGAGAUGUUUGUUCCUUUGUUGAACCUAAAUUGCAGGCCUGCUGAUGCUCUUUUAUUAUUGUAGCAUUUCAAAUAAAUAUUUCCUCUCUAAUCAUUACUGUUCGUGCUUGUUCUUCUGAAUAGCUUAGCUGUUACGAAAUCGUAUCGUAGAUUUUUUGUUCGUUACUGUUUGUGGUUGUAAUUGAUCGAGAUAUGCAGGCUGAUAUCAUUGUUUUCUAACUUGUCGUAACUGUUGUUGGUGCUCAAGGCUGCUCAAGUGGCGUCGGGAGUGAAUUCAUGGGCUGAAAAGGAGACGAGCGGCCUUAUCAAGGAUCUACUUCCUCCCGGGUCACUUGACAGCUCAACCAGGCUCAUCUUUACGAAUGCAUUGUACUUCAAGGGAGCUUGGAAUGAGAAAUUUGAUGCAUCAGCUACAAAAGAGCAUGACUUCCACCUUCUCGACGGGAGCACAGUUAAGGCGCCCUUCAUGACCAGCAAGAACAAGCAGUAUGUAAGUGCCUUUGACGGUUUCUCAGUCUUAGGGCUUCCUUACAGACAAGGUGAAGACAAGCGGCGCUUCUCCAUGCACAUCUUUCUUCCACAGGCGAAAGAUGGGCUGCCAGCUUUGGUUGAGAAACUUGGCUCUGAGUCCGGGUUUUUAGAUCGCUAUCUUCCCAAACAACCAGUUGCAGUGGGCGACUUCAGAAUCCCAAAGUUUAAGAUCUCAUUUGGGUUUGAAGCUUCCAAUGUCCUAAAGAGUCUGGGACUGGUGCUGCCUUUCGAGGGUGAAGGAGGUCUGACAGAGAUGGUGGACUCGCCCGAGGGUAAGAAGCUAUAUGUUUCUAGCAUAUUCCACAAGUCGUUCAUCGAAGUGAAUGAAGAAGGCACAGAAGCUGCAGCUGCUUCUGCCGGCGUUAUAAGUGAGAGGAGGAUGCCCAUGACAUUUGUGGCUGAUCGUCCAUUCCUCUUCACGAUCAGGGAAGAAACGACCGGAACAGUUCUGUUCAUCGGUAACCUGCUCAACCCUCUUGCCGGCUGAGUGUUACAACCCCCUGGGAAAGGGCAUCAGAUGUACGUAGAAUAAUACGCGCGAGACUGUAGUAAAUAAAAUGUAUGAUCCUUGUAUACAUGUACUAUGUUUGGUUAUUACCUAAUCACCCUGUACUUGCAGCAGUUGGUCUUGUUUCUCCCAUGUGGCGAUUUUUGUUUGUUCUCCCAUGGCGUUUAUCCAUGUGUAGAAUCUUGAUUCUGAAUACUUAUUUUAUGAUGUACUCUGUUUGAACAAUAAAAGUUUUAGCCGACUGCAAACGUCGGUUAGUGUUAAAGUAUUUAAUAUAUAGAAUGGACGAGUGCUAGUGUUGUACCAUACACAUGGUUGGUGAUGAAAAAGAUUAAACUUUGAAUAUUCUAUAAAAUAUUAUUUAACUUGGGACGAGGAUCUUCUUUGUGAGGAUCUUAUGAAUUAAUUUAUCUUAACGGUUCAUUGUACAUCGUGUGACCAUCUUUCAUUAGAUACUUUUUGUGUUAAAUUUUAAAUAAAUUCAAAAUAAUUUUUGGCUGCAGGAUGAUUGAUAAACAGAUAUGAUGCAUUGAUUCCUAAAGUCCUCACAAAGAGAAUCCGGAUGUUUAUAGUCCUCCAUGACUGGAGAUGGCCUAAGAUGCUAAACACUUAACACUACCCAAUUUUUCCAGUUAGUUAAAUUUUCACAAUUAGUGUAUUAAAUUGCUUAAGAAAUGUUAUCAGCACUCUAAAAUAAUUGACCAUAUUUUCUUGACUCUUUUGUUAAAUUGCAUGAAGAUUUUUUUGGAUAGUCAAUAAUAUCUCCCAAUUGCUUAACAUAGAAUUAAAUAGAGUAUCGCUAACUAGAGCAUGAUAUGUUUCUGUGUCUUUGAUGCCCUUUGCUCGAGAAAAUUUAGUAUAGGGUUUUCAUCACAAAUGGUCCCUGACAUUGAUCAAACACAUCAUUUUGGUCCCUGACAUUGAAAAUCAAUAGAAAUGGUCCCUGACAUUGAUCAAACACAUCAUUUUGGUCCCUGACAUUGAAAAUCAAUAGAAAUGGUCCCUGACAUUGAUCAAACACAUCACAAAUAGUCCUUCCGUUAAAAACGUUUUGGGCAAUUUUCAAAGCUUUGUAACUCAAUCGUUUCUUAACCAAAUUCGACCCAUAAUAUAUCAAAAUGAAGAUAGGAAAGUGUAGAACAAGAUUAUACCUAUUUGGAAACCCAAUGGUUGCCGGAGAUGGCCGGAAAACAGCCUCAAAUGUGACUGGUCCGCGAAAAAACUGGAAAACUCGCCUGAAAUGGGGUAAACUUUAAACAUUCAUAACUUCUUCAAUAAUCAACGAAAUCGAGUGAUUCAAAAAUGAAAAUCAUACUUCUCGACGAGACUAAGAGAAUGGUAGCUUUCUUGAUGGCUAACUCAUUGUAGUUUGGCCGGAAAAUGACUCGAAAUUGGCUAACUCGAAAAUGGUUAUCCAAGUUCGAGCCAUUUUCCGGUCAAACCACGGUAAAUUAGUAGUCAAUAAAGAUACCAUUAUCUUUCUCUCAUUGAGAAGUAUGAUUUUCAUUUUUGAAUCACUCAAUUUCAUUGAGUAUUGAAGAAGUUAUGAAUGUUUAAAGUUUACCCCAUUUCAGGCGAGUUUUUCAGUUUUUUCGCGGACCAGUCACAUUUGAGGCUGUUUUCCGGCCAUCUCCGGCAACCAUUGGGUUUCUAAAUAGGUAUAAUCUUGUUCUACACUUUCCUAUCUUCAUUUUGAUAUAUCAUGGGUCGAAUUUGGUUAAGAAACGAUUGAGUUACGAAGCUUUGAAAAUUGCCCAAAACGUUUUUAACGGAAGGACCAUUUGUGAUGUGUUUGAUCAAUGUCAGGGACCAUUUCUAUUGAUUUUCAAUGUCAGGGACCAAAAUGAUGUGUUUGAUCAAUGUCAGGGAUCAUUUGUGAUGAAAACCCUUUAGUAUAUGAACGACAAACUACGUGUUAUUACGGCCACAGACGAUAAUCCAGACUAUUUGUUUAAUACUUAAGCUUACUUGUGGUCCCAUUAUGUAAAAAAAUUUUGCAUUAGUCUGCACACAAGAAAUUUUUUAUUGGUUUCAGUUGAGCUCAAAUAAUAAUAAUCUGUUCGUGUAAAAGUUAAAAUUUAUCUUAUUAUGUAAUUGAUUUAAAAUACCGUAAAUACUGAUUUAAAAUUAUCUCAUUGUCAGCUUGUGUGUCAUUCUCGUAGAAUUUGGAAUUAUUCACAUUGUUUAGUAACGUAGGAUAUUUCAAGAAGCAUUUUUGCUCACUAUCAUUUAGUGUAAUGUAUAUUCAUCAUUCUAUUUAUCAUCGUUAGAUGAGUUUGAAUUUUAAGAUCCGUGUAGUGGAUAGACACAAAUUUCAAAAUUCAAUCUCAUCUAACGAUAAUAAAUAUGAUGAUGAACAUAAAUCAAAUAAAUGAUGAUGAAAAAAAAUACAUAGAUAUUUCAGUACAUGAAAACGUCACGUUAAUGAAAGGAGCUGGAGCGCCUGCUGCUGACCUCGGUCAAACAGACGGUGUGGGUUUCACGUGGCUGGCGCGAAAUCUAAACCGUUAAUUUAAUGUUAGUUAUCUCUCCCCUUGUCACGACUCCCAUGUAAUGCUGUAAAGUCACAAGCACCCAUCGUUUGGUUCUAAUAUUACAACAGUACCGCCCAUGGAAACACAAUCUUAAGCAAUCUCUAAUACUCAUAAUGUUGUUGAAGUUUUGCACUAAUAAUAGUUGCUAAACAGUGAUUAGACAGUCAGAUAAGAGACAGGGUUUAUGAUGUGAUUUGGACGUCCCAUCCUUUGCCACUUAAAAUGUCUUACCUACCAAACAUAUCUUGAAAAAUAAUUUAGCUUGGUACGAAGAAUCACAAUUUUUGUUUAUAAUUGACGAAAUCAAUCAAUGCAUGUUUUUUAUCAAAUCAAUAUUUAUUGGGAUAUUCAUCCUUAAAAUCUUCAUUUUGUUAUAAAACAACAAUAUAUUUAUUAUUUUUAAAAUUUUGUAAUACGUUUAUUUAAGUAGUGACUUUGAACGUUUUAAAAUUGAAAAAUCAAUAUUUAAAUGCAAAGUUGUCCGUUUUGAAUAAUCUCUAACAAUAUUUUCCUUCUCGUAAAUGAGUAAGAUUGGUUUAUUUUGUACACAAUUAGAUAUUGAGAGUUGAAAUUCUAAAUACUAAGUUCUUCUUAACAUAUUUUCGUAACCAUUUAAGAUGUUUGUAUAUUCGAAGAAUAUGGAAAAAUUGAAUCAACCCAGAUUAUUAUUAUGGCUGUCGACAUCUUUUAUCAGAGGAUAGCCAUCAAGUCACACCGCAUAUCCAGAAAGAGAAAUCCAUCCAAAAAAUAGGAAAACGAAAUGACAUUCCUUAUUUUCCUCCAUGGACGUCCCUUCUCUCCCCACCACGAAGGUCCCAGCUGAAAAGAAACGGAUGGCACAAUCGUGAUUAUCACAAACAGGAAUGUCAAAUUGUAGCAAGAGCAUGGUCAGCGCCGUUACAAAUAAGUGGAAGUUCCUCGGAAGAGUAAGAGAACGCGACAAUCAUAACGUAAUCUAUCUCUUCACUUUCUCAAUCCUUUUCUAUCUUUUUUUUCUUUCUGGGUUCCUUGUACUUCUCAUAAAUAUUAAGAGUUUAAUUCAAAAGAAAGGAACUUUCUCUUUCAUUGCUUACAUUUUUUUUUUCAGAUUAUUUACUUUCCCUUCCUUGCAGUUGCUUGGAAGAAACCAAGCUCAGAAGACCUUUGUUUUUUGAGAAUUCAGUUCAAUCCGUUUAUAUAUAUAUAUAUAUAUGGUGUUGAUGAUUUACCAGAAGUGAUAGUGCUUCAACCGAGAAGAAGAAGCUUUUAGUCUUCAGAAAUUCAGAGAAAAGAUAAGGAAGUGGAAGAGUGAAGGAAAAGCAAAUCAAAAGAUGGGAGAAACUGCUCCUCAUCCUCCACCACAGGUGGUUGCUCGGCCGUCUCAGAUGCCUCUUGGGGCAGCGAAGGGUCCCCAUUUGGACUCCAACUGAGCAGCUCCACAACCUUCAGUAUUGCAUCCACUCCAACCCCUCUUAGCGUUAGUCUCUCUCUGUUUCUGUUAAUUUCUUCGUUCUGGGUUUUAUAUUUUUUGAGUAAAAAGCUGAUUAAAGUUGUGCUAUUUUAAUGGGUUGGUUUAAAAGUUGAAGCUUUUGGCACUACUUCUUAUUUAGUUUACUAGUUUGCUUUUUAUUCCUAAUUUUGCAAAUUACUUUUACUAUUUUUGUUUCGGAUUCUCUAAUUUAUUGUGUUCGAAUCUUUUUAAGUACUGUAAUUAGUUCUAAUAAAAUAAUAAGCAUAUGUUCCAUUACCAGUUUCAACUUAUCCUGCUUACAAGACAUCGAUAUCACUCGAAAAUGUUUAGGAAGUGUAAACGUAAAUUUCCCAUGUUUAUCAAAUGCAACAAACUGCUUCUAAUGGAUCGAAUUUUACAGCGGAAACAUUCGUACUCGCUUUUCAGCACUAUAUUGUGAUGCUCGGAUCCAUAGUUAUAAUUGCCACUAGUUUCGUGCCUCGGAUGGGUGGGGAUCAUGUAAGUUAUGUCCUCUAUACAGUAAAGUUUAUAAUAUGCCGGUUAAGAUUAGCGAUCACACACGUAGCUUUGAAUCCGUGAUGUUAAUGUUUGGGUUUUGUUCUCCCUUUGUGAUCAGGGUGACAAGGCACGCGUGAUUCAGACGAUGCUGUUUAUGGCAGCAAUAAACACUUUGAUCCAAACAUUCACGGGACAAGGCUUCCAACAGUGAUGACUUCGUCAUUCGCUUUUACCCUUCCGGUGAUGUCAAUCAUCAAUGAUUAUUCUGAUCGGAAUUUUAGAAGUGAACAUGAGGUAUGUAAAGUUUGAAACAUGUUAUUCAUAGAGGAUUUAACAUCACAUUAAUUUACUUCUUAAAUUGCUUUAAGAAAUUUCAGUUAUAGACUUUGAGAUGAAAAAUACGUGGUGCAAAAAACGUGUAAACCUUACAUACCUGUAGAAGACGUCAUGAUGAAUUUCUGGUUUUGAGGACGGAAUAGAUUGAAGCACGUCCAUGCACUGUUGCGUCAUAUGCAACAAACUGAUGGGGAGUUCUAGGGUUGUGGCAUUAGCAAUGUGACAGGGACCUCAAACUUACAUAGGCCUCACGUCCCUAGAACCCUACCCACUAAUGGAGACUAGAAACUCUUAUGAUCCUCUAACGAGAAUAAUAAAGCCAAUGGAAAUGUUAGCACACAAUUGUUGUACAUAUAACAGACUUCGAGCAAUUUUUGGAACACGUAAAACAUUGUUAAGAAUAAGAUCAUGAGUAUUGGUUUUAAUGGUUGUUGCAUCAAUAUUCUUAAUGGAUAAACCUGUUCCAUUUCCAACUGUGAUUUUAUCAAAACCUUGGAAUGGUGUAACUUGAUUCAAUGUGGUGGCAUCAGCAGUGAUAUGAUGAGAUGCACCAGUAUCAACAAUCCAUGCAUCAUGAGGAAUAUAUUGUUCUAUCUGCUGUGUUGCCAUAGCUGUUAAGUUUGCAGGUGGUUGUUGGCCUUGAAAAACAUAAUUCCCUUUGUGAUAACAUUCAAGAGCUGAGUGACCUUUUUUUCCCACAAAUCUGACACUCCAUUUGAAAUCUAGUAUUUGGUGUAGUAGCAUUUCUGUGAAAACAAUUGACUGCAGUAUGCCCUUUCUUGUUGCAGAUUUGGCACUCAAUCACUGUUGUUGACCUGCUCUCUGUGUUUCCAUUCCACACAUUUGAACCAUUUGACCUUGAAUUGCCAUACGAAAAAUCAGAAGAGUUUCCUAUGUUGUAACCCUUGCUUUUGAAUCCACCAUUUGUCUUGUAAUUAUUGUUACCCUUGUAGUUUGAACCACCAAAAGGUUUCUGCAUGAAAUGAGGUAUUGGACCAGAAUUUGAUGCAUUAGCCAUAAACCCAAAACCAUAGGGAACUUGAGGAUAAACUGGACCAGGAAAUUGCGGAGACAUAGGAGGUUGAGGCAUAUGAGGUUGCUGUGGAUAUUGUUGUGGCAAGACAAAUGGCUGUGGUUAUUGUGGCUGUGGAUAUUGUUGUGGAUAUUGCUGUGGUAAAACAAAUGGCUCAGCAGAAUAUGGAUAUGGAUUAGGAGUUAUAACACCACCAGUGGUUGCAGGUAAAUGACUAUGCCCUGCAGGAUUAGACCCUGAAGCAAAUGAAUUUCCCUGAGUUGACUAAGAACCCUAAACAUAUAAGGCAGAUAGACUUUGAGACCCAACACUUGUGUCUCAUUCAAUCUCUUUUUCAGCUCUAAAUUUUUUCAAGGAAAUGGAUGAUUCUUUGCCAUAUAUCACAGUUCGAAUAGUUGCAUACUCCUUCGGCAAACCAGCUAAACCAGCAAUUAUAACAUCAUUAUCAGAAAUGAACUCUCCAGUAGCAGUUAAUUGUUCUCUUAUACUCUUCAAUCUUAACAGAUAUUUAUCCAUCAAAUCUCCUCAUUUUUGAAUGGUGUACAACUCAAUUUUUAAAUGAUUUACCCUAGUUUUAGACACUGAAGCAAAUCUAUCCACAAGAUUCGACCAAGCCUCACAAGCAGUUAAACAUCCAAGAACAUAUUUAAUAGCCUCAUCAAACAAAGUAGCUAGUAAAAGACUUAGUAAUGGAUAUGUGGAUUCCCAUUCAACAUAUUCAGCAAGUUCAGAAGUAACUCCUCUCUUAGUAUCUAUUACAAAUUUUUGUGGACAACCAAUAGUGCCAUCAAAAUGCCCAAACAAUUUAUGACCUUUCAACACAUAUUUGAACUGAAAAGCCCAUUUCACAAAAUUAUCAUCCUUCAACUUUAUUGUGAUCAUUCCCAGUUUCAACUUUAACACUUGAAGUAGUCAUGAUUUCUUGAUCGAACACAUAGAAUUUGCAAAUAACAAACAAACACCCAAAAAUUUCUGAUAUACGUAUUGAAAGGAAAGACUGAAACUUUCUCACAACCCAAGCAAGACUGAAACUCGCUUAAUACUCAGGAAAAACUGAAACUUUCUUGAUGAAUCUUGCACACAAAUACAACACACAAUUCCAAUUCGGAAAAGAAAACACAAAAUCUUCUAAUCAGGACUGAAACCCAAUUACUCAACAGAAAUUCACACUAUCACUUGAAUUGCAGCUGUGAUUGCAGCCACAAAUAGCCAGAAUACCAACCGCCAGAAAGAACAACAAGGAUCUGCAAUCGCCAGAACUUUUGAACAAACCCGUUGAAAAGACCUUUCAGAAUCCUUGAACUGGAUAGCAGCGAAAGAACUAGGAUCGAAAACGGUAGUGAACCAUGGUCAGCGAUGAUACCAUAUUAACAGUGUUGAAUUGUGGCCAAGUGGCCAUCACCUUUCGGCUAAUAAACAAACAAAGAAAAGAAAAAGAAAGACAAAAUGAUGAGGAAACAUCAUGAUGAGGAGGCAUCAUGAUUAUGCUUUCUUGUAGUUUUUUAAUAACCAUAAUUAUUGUUUUUGUUUCGGGUAGAAGAGAAGAAAGGGAGAGCUCAUUUUUUAGAAGAAAGCAUAUUAAAGAGAGAAGAGGAGAGAGAGAAGGUAGAGCCUUUUGGUUAUAAAAGGCAUUCGAUUAUGCCUUUGGAUGUGGGAGGGGGGGGAGCGGCAGAUGAGAGAGCACAGGGAGAGCAUUCGGCUCUCCCAUUUGAAUAUGAGCUGCUCCUUCCCACCAUUUGUAAUAAUCCCAUUUUGUUAGUAAUCACUCAAUCAAAGAUGUUGGUGCUACUUGUGUAGCUUUUGGGAGAGAAGGAUUUUGAUAUGUGUUUCUUCUUCUCCAUUUGUUUCUUAGUUUGAGUGAGAGCUAUUGGGUGUAUGUGGGAUUUGGGUUUGAGUGUUGAACUCUAUUUGUAAUCUCCUUUUGAUAUUAAUGGAAUUUCCUCGCCGUCUCGGAACUGGAUGUAGGCUUACGCCAAACCAGUAUAAAAAUCCUUGUGUCUUUUGGAUUAUUUGUCUUGUCAUAUUUUGCCGUUAUUAGCUUUGAUUUCAUAUUUGAAGCUUCCGCACAACAAGUGGUAUCAAAGCUCCGGGUUUCGACUUGGAGGCUUUGUACUAGUAUGUCUAUGAAAUCUUCAAAUGACGGUGAAAUAUGUUUUUUGGAAAAAUUCGACUGGAGGAAUGACUUUGGCAUUUGGUCAAUUGGAGAUGCAGAGUUUGGCUGCAAAAUGCGUGGCGUUGAAGAAGGAUAGUAAGGGACUAUGCUGCAGUCAUUGAGCUUGCAGAUUGGAGAAUGGUUUCGGAAACAGCGUGUCUGCUGCAAUGUUGCCGUCGAUGUUGUUGAAGUGUUGGUGUUCGACAGCUGCAGAUGUAGUGUACUGCUUUUGGUGGGUUCUCUGUUGGUCAUCGCUGCACCGGAGGUGUUUGUGGGCUGUUGUCGACGAGUUGAGUGGGAAGGAGAAAAGGUAGAAGCAGUUGAAAAUUGAAAAGAAAAUGUUGGUUCUUUUUCUUUCGGCAUUUGUUUUGGCAGAAGGACAUCAUGAUGACAAAUGAUGUUGUUGGCUGGAAGAAAAGGGAAAAAGGCUAAGGCUAAGUUUUCUUUUCUUUGGCAUUUUUUCAACGGCAGAAAAUUUUUGGUUCUUUUUUCACUCCCAUUAGUUGCCUUUGGAGCAAGUUGAUGGAAACAUUGGAGGAGUUUGUGAGGGCCAAUUUGUUGAGUUCUGCAAGUUUGGAUAGUGAGGCACCACACUAUUUUGGAUACACCACAUGCACUGCAGAACAUUUGUGUGGAACCCUCUUGUAGAAGGCAAGUUAUAUGCUUUCUAACUUUGUUUGGUCUAUGGACAUUUAGUUGGAUUUGUUUGCCACUGCUAUUUGGUUUGUUGGUCUCCAUCAUCUGCAAUUAGUUUUCUUGAAGACUCCAGUUGAGGUAUGGUUUUGGAUCUCCUGCUGAUUAUUUGAAUUUGAAAUUUUUGGUUGUCCUGUUGGUGCUCAUGUGAUGAUGGUAAACUUGAGUGGAGGGCAUAGUUUUUUUGUAUGUGGUAUGUUAGACCUUGUUGCCAAAUUUGUAAUCAGUUUUGACUUGGAGAAUAUGCCGUGCUAUUUGAAUGAGUCUAUUGAUGCAGUUUAAGACCAUGGUGUUUGUAAGCAGGUGGAGUUCGUUCUGUGUCCAACUUUGGUAUGGUGUGCUUGAUCUUUUGUUAGUGAUAUUGAAGAAUUUCAGUUCUUCGUUUGAAUCACUUUUGUUUUGAUCAAGGCACUUAUGGUUUGCAAAUUUGGAGAAUACGGUAGAGAAAUGGUCUACUUUUGUUGGCUUUGGUAUAAUUUGAGUCGAGGUGGAGAUCAUUAUGAGUACCGGAAAGUUUGGGGAAUUUGAUUUAGUUCCCGUUGUCUUUAGUUUGUACUUUGGGUGAUUAUGGUGAUUGUUGAUUCGAUUCUCUGUGAUGGUUUCGGAACUUGGCCAAGGUGGAGAUUGUUGAAUUGUGGCCAAGUGGCCAUCAUCGGCUAAUAAACAAACAAAAGAAAAGAAAAAGAAAGACAAAAUGAUGAGGAAACAUCAUGAUGAGGAGGCAUCAUGAUUAUGCUUUCUUCUUUUGUGGUUUUUUAAUAACCAUAAUUAUUGUUUGUUUAUUAGCCGAAAGGUGAUGGCCACUUGGCCACAAUUCAACAAUCUCCACCUUGGCCAAGUUCCGAAACCAUCACAGAGAAUCGAAUCAACAAUCACCAUAAUCACCCAAAGUACAAACUAAAGACAACGGGAACUAAAUCAAAUUCCCCAAACUUUCCGAUACUCAUAAUGAUCUCCACCUUGACUCAAAUUGUACCAAAGCCAACAAAAGUAGACCACUUCUCUACCGUCUUCUCCAAAUUUAAAUCCUAUGAAGAAAGGGAGAGCUCAUUUUUUAGAAGAAAGCAGAUUGAAGAGAGAAGAGGAGAGAGAAGGUAGAACCUUUUGGUUAUAAAAGGCAUUCGAUUAUGCCUUUGGAUGUGGGGAGAGCGGCAGAUGAGAGAGCACAGGGAGAGCAUUCGGCUCUCCCAUUUGAAUAUGAGUUGCUCCUUCCCACCAUUUGUAAUAAUCCAAUUUUGUUAGUAAUCACUCAAUCAAAGAUGUUGGUGCUACUUGUGUAGCUUUUGGGAGAGAAGGAUUUUGAUAUGUGUUUCUUCUUCUCCAUUUGUUUCUUAGUUUGAGUGAGAGCUAUUGGGUGUAUGUGGGAUUUGGGUUUGAGUGUUGAACUCUAUUUGUAAUCUUCUUUUGAUAUUAGUGGAAUUUCCUCGCCGUCUCGGAACUGGAUGUAGGCUUAUGCCGAACCAGUAUAAAAAUCCUUGUGUCUUUUGGAUUAUUUGUCUUGUCAUAUUUUGCCAUUAUUAGCUUUGGUUUCAUAUUUGAAGCUUCAGCAAUACAAACAGUACAAGAUCAAUGAAUUCCUAUGAAUGAAUAAACUAAAGAAAUCGAAGAAAGAGAAUAACGAGAGAGAAAAGCUUUUCAUUUAUAUUGCUCUAACAGAAAAUGAUUACAUGAUAAAAAUCUAAGUCUCCAAAACAAUAAUUAUAUAGAGACUAGAAUGAGCAGAAUCACAAUAUUGCCUUUCUAACUAAUUCUUAUCUUCUAACAACCUCAACACUCACAAGCUUGACACUUGUCAUUUCUUACAACCACUCCUAACAAAUCCUAACUGUUUAUCUGGUUAAUAUAACGGAUGGCCGACGACCGACACCGAGAUUUUCCCAAACCUUGGUCCUUACUCUCGUAUAAAUUCGAAACGAACAGUAAACAAUUUUCUCGCAAUCGGAAGCACGGCAAACAUGGAUCUGAGAGAAAGCAUCAUCAACCAAAACGACGUCGCAAGGAGGCUGACGAAGCAGCUGGUUCAGACCGAAGGCAAGCAGUCGAACCUCGUGUACUCGCCGCUGUCCAUCCACGUGGUGCUGAGCCUGAUCGCAGCCGGGUCAAAGGGUCCCACCCAGGAGCAGCUGCUCUCAUUCCUCAAGUCAGAGUCCACCGACCACCUCAACUCCUUCGCCUCCCAGCUCCUGCCCUUUAUCUUCUCCGAUGGGUCCCCCGUGGGCGGCCCCAAGCUGGCGUUUGCGAAUGGCGUUUGGGUGCAGAAGCCUCUCCCUCUGAAGCCUUCCUUCAAGCAGGUGGUGGAAGCUUCUUACAGGGCCGCUCUCGUCCUAGUUGAUUUUCAGACCAAUGUAAGCUCCCAAACCCUCUGUCAUGUCGUUUCGAUUGUUUUUGUCGAUGCUGCUCAUGAUCAAAGUCUUUGGUUGUAAUUUCAGACCAAUGUUUCAAUGUCGAUGCUGCUGAUGCUCUUUUGUUCGUUACUGUUUUUGGUUGUAAUUGAUCGAGAUAUGCAGGUUGAUAUCAUUGUUUUCUAACUUGUCGUAACUGUUGUUGGUGCUCAAGGCUGCUCAAGUGGAGUCGGAAGUGAAUUCAUGGGCUGAAAAGGAGACGAGCGGCCUUAUCAAGGAUCUACUUCCUCCCGGGUCACUUGACAGCUUCACCAGGCUCAUCUUUACCAAUGCAUUAUACUUCAAGGGAGCUUGGAAUGAGAAAUUUGAUGCAACAGCUACAAAAGAGCAUGACUUCCACCUUCUCGACGGGAGCACAGUUAAGGCGCCCUUCAUGACCAACAAGAACCAGCAGUAUGUAAGUGCCUUUGACGGUUUCUCAGUCUUAGGGCUUCCUUACAAACAAGGUGAAGACAAGCGGCGCUUCUCCAUGCACAUCUUUCUUCCACAGGAGAAAGAUGGGCUGCCAGCUUUGGUUGAGAAACUUGGCUCUGAGUCCGGGUUUUUAGAUCGCUAUCUUCCCAAACAACCAGUUGCAGUGGGCGACUUCAGAAUCCCAAAGUUUAAGAUCUCAUUUGGGUUUGAAGCUUCCAAUGUCCUAAAGAGUCUGGGACUGGUGCUGCCUUUCGUGGGUGGAGGUCUGACAGAGAUGGUGGACUCGCCCGAGGGUAAGAAGCUAUAUGUUUCCAACAUAUUCCACAAGUCGUUCAUCGAAGUGAAUGAAGAAGGCACAGAAGCUGCAGCUGCUUCUGCCGGCGUUAUAAGUGAUAGGAGGAUGCCCAUGACAUUUGUGGCUGAUCGUCCGUUCCUCUUCACGAUCAGGGAAGAAACGACCGGAACAGUUCUGUUCAUCGGUAACCUGCUCAACCCUCUUGCCGGCUGAGUGUUACAAUCCCCUGGGAAAAGGCAUCAUGUGUACGUAGAAUAAUACGAGAGUAUAGUAAAUAAAAUGUAUGAUCCUUGUAUACAUGUGCUAGGUUUGGUUAUUACCUAAUCACCCUGUACUUGCCGCAGUUGGUCUUGUUUCUCCCAUGUGGCGAUUGUUGCUCGUUCUCCCAUGGCGUUUAUCUAUUUGUACAAUCUUGAUUCUGAAUACUUAUUUUAUGUUGUACUCUGUUUGAACAAUUAAAGUUUUAGCCGACUGCAAACGUCGGUUAAGUGUUAAAGUAUUUGGACAGGGAUUGUCUGCUUUUUCAUUUUUCGUGUCCUUCUGUUUUGUGUGUUCACAGUUAAACUACGUCAAUAUUUUAUAUUAUUUUUUUAUAGAAAUAAUAAGAUAAAAAUAAAUAAUAAUAUAAAAUAUUAACGUGACUUAACUGUAACCACACAAACAGGAGGGCACGGAAGACCACCGGAAGUGGAAGAGCGGACAUUCUUGUCCAAAGUAUUUAAUAUAUAGAAUGUACGAGUGCUAGUGCUGUACCAUAUACAUGGUUGGUGAUGAAAAGGAUUAAACUAUGAAUAUUCUAUAAAAUAUUAUUUACCCUAGGACGAGGAUUUUCUUUGGAUCUUCUUUACGAGGAUCUUAGGAAUUAAUUCAUUUUAACGGUUUAUUGUACAUCGUACGGUCAACUUUCGUUAGAUACUUUUUAUGUUUAAUUUUAAAUAAAUUCAAAAUAAUUUUUCACUGCAUGAUGCAUUGAUUCCUAAAGCACUCGCAAAGAGACUCCAGAUGUUUAGUUCUCCAUGACUGGAGAUGGCCUAAGAUGCUAAACACUUAACACUAACCAAUUUUUCCGGUUAGUUAAAUUGUUUAAUAAAUGCUAUCCACACUCUAAAAUAAUUGACCAUAUUUUCUUGACUCUUUUGUUAGAUUGCAUGAAAUAUUGUUCGAGUAAAUAAUCUCUCAAGUAUCACUCAGACUUCAUAAUGAUUUUGAUUUUGAUUACAUAGUAAGCAUGUCAUUAAGGUCAAAUUUUGAACAAACACCCAAUUACAUAGCACGCAUGUUAUUAUGGUGUAUGCUCAUUGUCACUUUCAAAACUUGACACCUGUCUACUAACAUAACCGAUGGCCGACGACCGACACCUUCCCAAACCUUGGUCCUUACCCUCGUAUAAAUUCGAAACGAACAGUAAACAAUUUUCUCGCAAUCGGAAGCACGGCAAACAUGGAUCUGAGAGAAAGCAUCAUCAACCAAAACGACGUCGCAAGGAGGCUGACGAAGCAGCUGGUUCAGACCGAAGGCAAGCAGUUGAACCUCGUGUACUCGCCGCUGUCCAUCCACGUGGUGCUGAGCCUGAUCACAGCCGGGUCAAAGGGUCCCACCCAGGAGCAGCUGCUCUCAUUCCUCAAGUCAAAGUCCACCGAUCACCUCAACUCCUUCGCCUCCCAGCUAGUGUCCGUGAUCUUCUCCGAUGGGUCCCCCGUGGGCGGCCCCAAGCUGGCGUUUGCGAAUGGGCUUUGGGUGCACAAGCCUCUCACGCUGAAGCCUUCCUUCAAGCAGGUGGUGGACGCUUCUUACAAGGCAGCUCUCGCCCUAGUCGAUUUUCAGACUAAUGUAAGCUCCCAAACCCUCUGUCAUGUCGUUUCGAUAGUUUUUUUUUCAAUGCUGCUCAUGAUCAAAGUCCUGAAUUUUUUUUCCCGAUUUGAUUAGAGAUGUAUAAAUAUUUCCUAAAUUGCAGGCCUGCUGAUGCUCUUUUAUUCUUGUAGCAUUUCAACUAAAUAUUUCCUCUCUAAUCAUUACUGUUUGUGCUUGUUCUUGUGCAUAGCCGUUACGAAAUCGUAUCGAAGAUUUUUUUGUUCGUUACUGUUUGUGGUUAUAAUCUAGGUAUUAAAUAUUGAUAAUAUCGGAAAUAUCGGUAGUCCAGAAACACGGAAAUAUUGAUGGAAAUAUCGGGAUAUUAUCGAUAUGUAUAAAAAUAAUAUGGAAACCACGGAAAUUGUAAGAAAAACUUGGAAAUUUUUAUUGAAACUUUGCAGGAUGUUUAUUUAGUCAAUUAUCUAUUAGUUUAUCACAAAAUAUUGGAAGGAAAUGUAUUACAUAAUAGAUUUAACUGAUUUAAGUUGAUUAUAUAGCGAACUAGCGAACUACCAAACAUUAUGAGUUAGAAAAUAUGUAGUAAUUAAUAAAAGAAGUUUAAACACACAGUCACCGACUAUUAAAAAUUGUACAUGUAAAAGCUGUAAAAGUUGAAUUAUUUAGAUGCUUUUUUUUCUUACAUGCCACCCACACACACACACACACAGACUCUCACACGCCAACACACACGCACACACAGAUCACACACACAUCACACACACAGACAGAGACUGAGGUCUCUCUUUCUCGAUCCUUCUCUCUUCUCUCUCGAUCCUUCUCCCUUCUCUUCGACAGAGACUGAGGUCUAUCUCUCUCUCGAUCCUUCUCUCUUCUCUCCCUUCUCCAUUCUCCCACACACACACCCAGAUCUCUCGAUCUCUCUUCUCCCUUCUCCCACACACACGCACAGAGACCUCGCCCCUCCCCCCUCGUCAUCGUCUCCACCGCAAAUCUAGGUCUUUGAACGUAAAUUGCAGGCCUGCUGAUGCUCUUUUAUUCUUGUAGCAUUUCAACUAAAUAUUUCCUCUCUAAUCAUUACUGUUUGUGCUUGUUCUUGUGCAUAGCCGUUACGAAAUCAUAUCGAAGAUUUUUUGUUUGUUACUAUUUGUGGUUAUAAUCUAGGUAUUAAAUAUUGGUAAUAUCGGUAGUCCAGAAACACGGAAAUAUUGAUGGAAAUAUCGGGAUAUUAUCGAUAUGUAUAAAAAUAAUAUGGAAACCACGGAAAUUGUAAGAAAAACUUGAAAAUUUUUAUUGAAACUUUGCAGGAUGUUUAUUUAGUCAAUUAUCUAUUAGUUUAUCACAAAAAAAUUGGAAGGAAAUGCAUUGCAUGAUAGAUUUAACUGAUUUAAGUUGAUUAUAUAGCGAACUAGCGAACUAGCAAACAUUAUGAGUGUAGAAAAUAUGUAGUAAUUAAUGAAAGAAGUUUAAACACACAGUCACCGACUAUUAAAAAUUGUACAUGUAAAAGCUGUAAAAGUUGAAUUAUUUAGAUGUUUUUUUUUCUUACAUGCCAUCCACACACACACACACACACAGACUCUCACACGCCAACACACACCACGCAUACACAGAUCACACACACAGACAGAGACUGAGGUCUCUCUCUCUCGAUCCUUCUCUCUUCUCUCUCGAUCAUUCUCCAUUCUCUCUCGACCUAGACUGACUCUCUCUCUCUCUCUCUCUCUCUCUCUCUCUCUCUCUCUCUCUCUUUCCCACACACACACAGAUCUUUCGAUCUCUCUUCUCCCUUCUCCCACACACACGCACAGAGACAUCGUCCUUCGUCAUCGUCAUCGUCUCCCACACACACGCACAGAGACCUCGCCCCUCGUCAUCGUCUCCACCGCAAAUCUAGGUCUUUGAACGUAAAUUGCAGGCCUGCUGAUGCUCUUUUAUUCUUGUAGCAUUUCAACUAAAUAUUUCCUCUCUAAUCAUUACUGUUUGUGCUUGUUCUUGUGCAUAGCCGUUACGAAAUCGUAUCGAAGAUUUUUUGUUCAUUACUGUUUGUGGUUAUAAUCUAGGUAUUAAAUAUUGGUAAUAUCGGAAAUAUCGGUAGUCCAGAAACAUGGAAAUAUUGAUGGAAAUAUCGGGAUAUUAUCGAUAUGUAGAAAAAUAAUAUGGAAACCACAAAAAUUGUAAGAAAAACUUGAAAAUUGUUAUUGAAACUUUGCAGGAUGUUUAUUUAGUCAAUUAUAUAUUAGUUUAUCACAAAAAAUUGGAAGGAAAUGCAUUGCAUGAUAGAUUUAACUGAUUUAAGUUGAUUAUAUAGCGAGCUAGCAAACAUUAUGAGUAGAAAAUAUGUAGUAAUUAAUGAAAGAAGUUUAAACACACAGUCACAGACUAUUAAAAAUUGUACAUGUAAAAGCUGUAAAAGUUGAAUUAUUUAGAUACUUUUUUUUCUUACACGCCACCCACCCACACACACACACACACUCUCACACGCCAACACACACGCACACACAUACACACAUCACACACAGACAGAGACUGAGGUCUCUCUUUCUCGAUCCUUCUCUCUUCUCUCUCGAUCAUUCUCCCUUCUCUCCGACAGAGACUGAGGUCUCUCUCUCUCUCUCGAUCCUUCGCUCUUCUCUCCCUUCUCCAUUCUCCCACACACACACACAGAGAUCUCUCGAUCUCUCUUCUCCCUUCUCCCACACACACGCACAGAGACAUCGUCCCUUGUCAUCGUCAUCGUCUCCCACACACACAUACACAGACCUCGCCCCUCGCCCCUCGUCAUCGUCUCCAUCGCAGAUCUAGGUCUUUGAAUGUCAAAGUUUCGAGCGCACCUCAAAUCCAGGCAAUCUGAUUCUGACGCUGUAGUCGUCGCCGCCACCACCAACUUCCUAAGCCAAGAAUGGAGAACCUGAUCUCGUUGGUGAACAAAAUCCAGAGGGCUUGUACUACUCUAGGGGACUAUGGCGAAGGUAGUGCAUUCGUCGUCGCCGUCGUCGCCAUCGCCGUCAGUGGUCAGAUCAACUCCCGGUCCCUCACCUUCUUACCUCUUCGAUUGAUUCAUGCAUAUGAAUUGUGGUUGUGUUUUCAAUCGCUCUGUAGCUUAGAUCUUGAUCUUAAUCAUGUUUUUGCAAGGUUUUUGGGAUGAAAUCGGCUCGGGAAUCGGCACACCCAUUUCCGGCGUUCUUCUCCGAGUAGCCAGUUCCAAAAAUAUCGUGAUAAUUUCGGAAAUAUUACGAUAUUAUCGAUAGUAUAGCUAUAUUUUGACGAAAACCCUUUGGAUACCUAUUAAAAUAUCGGUCCGGCGAAAAACCGAUAAUAUCGACGAUAUAUUGGCGAUUUUGUUCCUUGGUUAUAAUUGAUCGAGAUAUGCAGGCUGAUAUCAUUGUUUUCUAACUUGUCGUAACUGUUGUUGGUGCUCAAGGCUGCUCAAGUGGCGUCGGGAGUGAAUUCAUGGGCUGAAAAGGAGACGAGCGGCCUUAUCAAGGAUCUACUUCCUCCCAGGUCACUUGACAGCUCAACCAGGCUCAUCUUUACGAAUGCAUUGUACUUCAAAGGAGCUUGGACUGAGAAAUUUGAUGCAUCAGCUACAAAAGAGCAUGACUUCCACCUUCUCGACGGGAGCACAGUUAAGGCGCCCUUCAUGACCAGCAAGAGGAAGCAGUAUGUAAGUGCCUUUGACGGUUUCUCAGUCUUAGGGCUUCCUUACAAACAAGUUGAAGACAAGCGGCGCUUCUCCGUGCACAUCUUUCUUCCAGAGGAGAAAGAUGGGCUGCCAGCUUUGGUUGAGAAACUUGGCUCUGAGUCCGGGUUUUUGGAUCGAUAUCUUCCCAAACAACCAGUUGCAGUGGGCGACUUCAGAAUCCCAAAGUUUAAGAUCUCAUUUGGGUUUGAAGCUUCCAAUGUCCUAAAGAGUCUGGGACUGGUGCUGCCUUUCGAGGGUGAAGGAGGUCUGACAGAGAUGGUGGACUCGCCCGAGGGUAAGAAGCUAUAUGUUUCCAGCAUAUUUCACAAGUCGUUCAUCGAAGUGAAUGAAGAAGGCACAGAAGCUGCAGCUGCUUCUGCCGGCGUUAUAAGUCAGAGGAGUAUGCCCAUGACAUUUGUGGCUGAUCAUCCAUUCCUCUUCACGAUCAGGGAAGAAACCACAGGAACAGUUCUGUUCAUCGGUAACCUGCUCAACCCUCUUGCCGGCUGAGUGUUACAAUCCCCUGGGAAAAGGCAUCAUGUGUACGUAGAAUAAUACGAGACUAUAGUAAAUAAAAUGUAUGAUCCUUGUAUACAUGUGCUAGGUUUGGUUAUUAC